UCCGGUGAUAAUUGCUAAGGGGACCCACCCGUUCUCAUCCCGAACACGGAAGUUAAGCCCUUAUACGCCGACAAUACUUGGUUGGAGACGACCCGGGAAGAUAGGAAGUUGCCGGUU
rnacentral:rRNA from 1 species